rnacentral:sRNA from 1 species
AGCUGAUGCCCCCCUCCAUCUAAGAUCAACACAGAAAUCUCCUCAGUACCAGGCUGAAUUCCCCAUGAGUCCUGUGACCUCAGCCCACGCAGGGACCUACAGGACUCUCUGGGGGCCCCAGCUCCCCCACAACAGGCCCCACCUCCACAUCUGCAGGCCCUGAGGACCAGCCCCUCACCCCCACCAGGUCGGAUCCCCAGAGUGUAGGCGCUCAUUUCAAUGACAUCACCCCCAUCCCUGACAUCAUCGUGCUCAAGGUCUGGGAAAGCACCUGGGGGUUGUGAUCGGCAUCUUGGUGGCCGUCGUCCUCCUGCUCCUCCUCCUCCUCCUCCUGUUCCUCGUCCUCCGACACCGACGUCAGGGCAAACGCUGGACAUCGACCCAGAGAAAGGCUGAUUUCCAACAUCCUGCAGGGGCUGUGGGGCCAGAGCCCACAGACAGAGGCCUGCAGAGGAGGUAAUUCUGUCCAAAGACCCCAGACUCCCACCCGCUCCUGGCCCAUUCACUGCCCCUAAAGCUCCCGUUCCUCCCCCAGGUCCAGCCCAGCUGCCGAUGCCCAGGAAGAAAACCUCUAUGCUGCCGUGAAGGACACACAGCCUGAGGACGGAGUGGAGCUGGACACUCGGGUGAGGCCCUGCCCCUGUCCCGGCCACCAAAGGCCUCCUGGUGCCAGAUCUAAUCCUGCAGGACUUCUCUGUCCUCCUUCCCCCGGCUCUCAGCAUCGUCACAGUGGACCCCUCCUUGUCCAGCACGCUGCCUCCCGCCUGCUGGGACCUCACUCUCUCCUGCUGUCCUGGGACCUCGUGGGCCUCCUCCCGGGUCCCCUUCCUGCUCCUCAUCCUCUGUUUGGCCGUCUGGUUGUUAGAGCGCUCCCCAGGCCUCAGGAGGAUGAGGAAUAAAUGAACCACCCCGGUCCCCUGGGCUCCCCUUCAUUCAUUCAUCCAGCGAGUGUUCCCAGGGAGCUCACUGUGGAUGGGGCUCCCCAUGGGAGCUGCAGACACAGCAGGGAGCAAAGCCGCCCCCGCCUCCUGAGCUCACCUCAUGGUGGGAGACAAAAUGCAAAUAAAUGCGCCGUGUCCAGGAGUGCAACGUGCUGUAAGGAACAUAAACCAGGGAAAGGGCAGAGAGUGUGGGGCAGUGGGGCCAGACUGAAUGGAAGGGGAGGGCUGUCUGCUCAGCUGUCAUCUGAGAAACCUGGACGGAGGGGGCCACACGAUCCUCUAAUGGAUGAGCCCCUGUAGGCAGAGGAAACAGCUGUGCAAAGGCCCCGAGGCAGCAGCGAGCUCUUGCAGGAAGGCCACGUGAGGCUGCAGCCAAAUGGGCAAGGUCAGAGUGAGGAGCAGAGGCCAGAACCACAGGGAGGGAGCGGCCAGACCCUCCACGGCCUUAGGGCGUCCCUGAGAUUCCAUCAGGAAAGGGAUGUAAUCGGAUCACCCGGGGAACAGUGAGGAAAAUUGACUCCAGGGGGUCAGGAGGAUUCAAGGACACCCCCCACCACUGUCUCUCUCCAGCAGAGCCCACACGAUGAAGACCCCCAAGCAGUGACGUAUGCCAAGGUGAAACACUCCAGACCUAGGAGAGAAAUGGCCUCCCCUCCUUCCCCACUGUCCGAAGAAUUCCUGGACACAAAGGACAGACAGGCGGAAGAGGACAGGCAGAUGGACACUGAGGUGAGUCCUUUCCUCUCCAGACCCCCAGGCCUCCCCCACCCCCACCACGUUCCUUCCCUCUCACUCUCCCCCCUGCAGCCUGCUGCAUCUGAAGCCCCCCAGGAUGUGACCUAUGCCCAGCUGAACAGCUUCACCCUCAGAUGGGAGGCAAUUGAGCCUCCUCCAUCCCAGGAAGGGCCCUCUCCAGCGGUGCCCAGCAUCUACGCCACUCUGGCCAUCCACUAGCCCAGGGGGGGACGCAGACCCCACACUCCACGGAGUCUGGAAUGCAUGGGAGCUGCCCCCCAGUGGACACCAUUGGACCCCAGCCAGCCUGGAUCUACCCCAGGAGACUCUGGGAACUUUUAGGGGUCACUCAAUUCUGCAGUAUAAAUAACUAAUAUCUCUACAAUUUUGAAAUAAAGCAACAGACUUCUCAAUAAUCAAUGAAGUAGCUGAGAAAACUAAGUCAGAAAGUGCAUUAAACUGAAUCACAAUGUAAAUAUUACACAUCAAACGAUGAAAUUGGAAAACUACAAGCCACGAAUGAAUGAAUUAGAAAAGAAAAAAAGUAGGAAAUGAAUGAUCUUGGCUUUCCUAUAAGAAAUUUAGGGCAGGGCGCGAUGGCUCACGCCUGUAAUUCCAGCACUUUGGGAGGCCGAGGCGGGCAGAUCACGAGUUCAGGAGAUCGAGACCAUCCUGGCCAACAUGGUGAAACCCUGUCUCUCCUAAAAAUACAAAAAUUAGCUGGGUGUGGUGGUGGGCGUGCCUGUAAUCCCAGCUAUUUGGCAGGCUGAGUCAGGAGAAUCGCUUAAACCAGGGAGUCAGAGGUUUCAGUGAGCCAAGAUCGCACCACUACUCUCCAGCCUGGCGACAGAGGGAGACUCCAUCUCAAAUU